rnacentral:rRNA from 1 species
CCUACGGGGGGCAGCAGUGGGGAAUAUUGGACAAUGGGGGCAACCCUGAUCCAGCCAUGCCGCGUGUGUGAAGAAGGCCCUCGGGUUGUAAAGCACUUUCAGUGAGGAAGAACGCCUGGUGGUUAAUACCCAUCAGGAAAGACAUCACUCACAGAAGAAGCACCGGCUAACUCCGUGCCAGCAGCCGCGGUAAUACGGAGGGUGCGAGCGUUAAUCGGAAUUACUGGGCGUAAAGCGCGCGUAGGUGGCUUGAUAAGCCGGUUGUGAAAGCCCCGGGCUCAACCUGGGAACGGCAUCCGGAACUGUCAAGCUAGAGUGCAGGAGAGGAAGGUAGAAUUCCCGGUGUAGCGGUGAAAUGCGUAGAGAUCGGGAGGAAUACCAGUGGCGUAGGCGGCCUUCUGGACUGACACUGACACUGAGGUGCGAAAGCGUGGGUAGCAAACAGGAUUAGAUACCCCAGUAGUC